UCGGAGCUUGCUCCGGGAAGUUAGUGGCGGACGGGUGAGUAACGCGUGAGCAACCUGCCUGUGUGAGCGGAAUAACGUCCGGAAACAGACGCUAAUACCGCAUGACUCACGGACUUCGCAUGGAGACCGUGGCAAAGAUUUAUCGCACACAGAUGGGCUCGCGUCCGAUUAGGCAGUUGGUGAGGUAACGGCUCACCAAACCGACGAUCGGUAGCCGGACUGAGAGGUUGAACGGCCACAUUGGGACUGAGACACGGCCCAGACUCC
rnacentral:rRNA from 1 species